GAUGAACGCUAGCUACAGGCUUAACACAUGCAAGUCGAGGGGAAACGAUAGAGAAAGCUUGCUUUUUCUAGGCGUCGACCGGCGCACGGGUGAGUAACGCGUAUCCAACCUGCCCAUCACUUGGGGAUAACCUUGCGAAAGUAAGACUAAUACCCAAUGAUAUCUCAAGAAGACAUCUGAAUGAGAUUAAAGAUUUAUCGGUGAUGGAUGGGGAUGCGUCUGAUUAGCUUGUUGGCGGGGUAACGGCCCACCAAGGCGACGAUCAGUAGGGGUUCUGAGAGGAAGGUCCCCCACAUUGGAACUGAGACACGGUCCAAACUCCUACGGGAGGCAGCAGUGAGGAAUAUUGGUCAAUGGGCGAGAGCCUGAACCAGCCAAGUAGCGUGCAGGAUGACGGCCCUAUGGGUUGUAAACUGCUUUUAUAAGGGAAUAAAGUGAGCCUCGAGGGGCUUUUUGCAUGUACCUUAUGAAUAAGGACCGGCUAAUUCCGUGCCAGCCGCCGCCGUAA
rnacentral:rRNA from 1 species